AAGUCAAAUGCUUCCGGAACCAGCUGACACAUUAGUACUUAUAAAUGCUUCCAACUACAGAAAUGCGCGCUAAAGUUGAGUGUCGCUGUUUUCCGUUCUCCACCAGAUUCCCUAACUUUUUCUGUAUUACAUUCUUUUGUACCAAUAAGACCGCCGCUGGUCAAUUGCUUUUGACCGUCGUCGGCAUCAAAGGCCAGAUCCGCGGGGGAUAAAGGCUCUUGCUUUUGCCUCUGACUGAUGAACCCGGAUCCACUGGUACCCAUAUCUCUCAAGUUUGCUGCUUUGUGAGUACAUCAAACAUCCUACAUAGGAGCUGCUAAAUUGCAGAUUUUAUUCAUGGAAGGCCAGAUAUCCCAAUAAAGCCUCUCACUGCAAUUGGUGAUUAUUUGCUUCAGAUUACCGAUGCAAUUCAUUUGACACACUAGUGGCUAGAUUGUGAAUAAAGUCAGGUUUCCCAAUAAAGACUCACCUAGGUGGCAUGUGUAUGAUAUUACAUAUGAGUGAAGACAUAUUACCUGAUCCAGACACAGUUGAUUCUGAUUGUCAAGUACUAUCCACUAUAAUUCUAAGUUUCAUGGAGAUCUUUGCACCAUCAUGUCAUGGUUGAGAGUAAAACUAUCCAGUAGUGCACUUAAAGGUUGUUGGUGUAGUUGAGAUUCAAGAUCAACGCUCAGACAUAUCCGCAGCUACGUGGUGUAUAAGGCUAGAUAUCCCAACAACGAUUCUUGCUUCUGCCUUUCAUAUCAUCAAUAAGUGGCUCAAAUUAUCUGAUCUAUAUUGCAGCUUGUUUAGUGAACAAAUAUCCUCUGUCUCAUCGGCAUCAGACACAAAGAUAAUUGGAAAUCUAUAAAGAGUUUGUUGAGAAGCCUGGGUUCCUUCCAAAGAUGACAGUUGUCAGAGGUGAAAGCUUUGUGUGAAGAACAGAGGAGAAUAGAGAAUUUAGAGAGAGACAGAAUUUCUAUUGAUGAAGAAUAAGGCUCUGAUACAAUCGAUGAAAACUGAGGUAGCUACUAGCUUUAUAUACUAACUACUUAUGCUGCAGAUUGCUUACACGUGGACUACAGCUGUAGGCCACAGGCUAAUUAACCAUCCAUAUAAGCACACAGCAGAGUGAGCAGACUAACCAAUUAGUUACUGGUGUUGAGCUGAAUAGGACCAUAGAGCUAACACCCCUCCUCAGCUUGAAGAUUGGAUACAAGCUUCAAGAUGCAGCAAAUGACAAGUAAGUUGUAAUACCCCUCCUUAGCACCAUCAUAUCUGUAAAAGAAGCAAACGAGAAAACUAGAGAAUGGCAGCAAGUAAUGUUUGUUUCAACCAGGAUGAAGAAGAGGAAGUGAUGGCCAUAACUCCAUUGAUUGACAAGCUCUCCUGCAAUUCAUCAUAAUUUUGACCUUCUGGAUGCAUCACAAUUAUGUGAUCUGAAGCACCUGAAACAAUAAUCCAUGUAUCAGAACUAACAAAGUUUGAAAUUUGCAAAACCUUACCAAUCUUACCAAUACCUUUACCAACCAUUGAGACUGAAGGAUUGUCAUCUUUGCCUGUGGUAUGAUCUUGCCCAGCAACACCAAAGUACUAUGAAUUCUGAACAAGAUUAACAGUUGCCUUCCCUCUCCCUCGAGUCCCAAUUGGCUAGGGUCUGCUGCAACAUCCAAUAAGAUACCCAACCAACUUAUAACAGUUCUCCUUGGUGUGUCCAACUAGAUUGCAGCGCUGACAUACAUACAGACCCACCAAAAUUAGCUCUUGAUGAAGGACCCUGAGUCAUGGGACAAAAUCCUGAUGGUGGUGUGGAGAAGCCAUGCGGUGGACCUUGAGCCCAUGAGGGCUUGGCAUGAAUGGUCAAGCUAGAGAUCUCUAACUACCUUUGCUAUCCUGCUAAGAUUCAUCCUUACGGAUGUGGAUGAAAUCUUCAAUAAGAGAAGAAUGCUCUUGCCUACGAAGCAGUUCUCCCUUGGCACUGUUAUGCUUAACAUCCAAUCCACUCAUAAACUAGUGCACUCGCUCCAACUCCUUCUUCUGGUACCUAGCAAUAUCUUCAGCAUUCUUCAAUUUGUUCGAUC